AACGUAGGAGACGAACGUUAUCCGGAUUUACUGGGCGUAAAGAGCGCGCAGGCGGUCGUGCAAGUCGCGUGUGAAAGCCCCCGGCUCAACUGGGGAGGGUCACGCGAUACUGCUCGACUCGAAGGCAGGAGAGGGAAGUGGAAUUCCCGGUGUAGUGGUGAAAUGCGUAGAUAUCGGGAGGAACACCAGUGGCGAAGGCGACUUCCUGGCCUGUUCUUGACGCUGAGGCGCGAAAGCUAGGGUAGCAAACGGG
rnacentral:rRNA from 1 species